UACGGGAGGCAGCAGUGGGGAAUUUGGACAAUGGGCGCAAGCCUGAUCCAGCAAUGCCGCGUGUGUGAAGAAGGCCUUCGGGUUGUAAAGCACUUUUGUCCGGGAAGAAAUCCCUGGUCCUAAUAUGGCCGGGGGAUGACGGUACUGGAAGAAUAAGCACCGGCUAACUACGUGCCAGCAGCCGCGGUAAUACGUAGGGUGCGAGCGUUAAUCGGAAUUACUGGGCGUAAAGCGUGCGCAGGCGGUGAUGUAAGACCGAUGUGAAAUCCCCGGGCUUAACCUGGGAACUGCAUUGGUGACUGCAUCGCUCGAGUAUGGCAGAGGGGGGUAGAAUUCCACGUGUAGCAGUGAAAUGCGUAGAGAUGUGGAGGAAUACCGAUGGCGAAGGCAGCCCCCUGGGUCAAUACUGACGCUCAUGCACGAAAGCGUGGGGAGCAAACAGGAUUAGAUACCCUGGUAGUCCACGCCCUAAACGAUGUCAACUGGUUGUCGGGCCUUCAUUGGCUUGGUAACGUAGCUAACGCGUGAAGUUGACCGCCUGGGGAGUACGGUCGCAAGAUUAAAACUCAAAGGAAUUGACGGGGACCCGCACAAGCGGUGGAUGAUGUGGAUUAAUUCGAUGCAACGCGAAAAACCUUACCUACCCUUGACAUGUAUGGAAUCCUGCUGAGAGGUGGGAGUGCCCGAAAGGGAGCCAU
rnacentral:rRNA from 1 species